UGGGGGGAGCAGGAACUGUCCAUGGAGGAAGGUGACAGGGACCUGACUAUGGGGAGAGGGAGAAGAAAAACGUGAAUUCACAGGAUAGUAAGAUUACUCUGGAGGCUCCUGCCUGGAAGAUGGCGACACGGAGACAACACAUGGUCUGAGUUCUCCAAGGAGGCUGCUUCAAAACAAGUUUGGCCACCAGGUUCCAGAUGCUACCAUGAUGCCAAUCAGACUUCCCUGGACAGAUGACCCCACCAGUGUGUCCUGGAGCUCCUCUUCCUCAGAACCCUGCCCCACUAGGGAAAGAGAGAGAGAGAGGCUGGGAGUAGGGAUUGACCUGUCAAUGCCCAUGUUCAGCGGGGAAGCAAUUACAGAAGCCAGACCUUCCACCUUCUGCACGCCAUGGUGACCCUGGGUUCAUAAUCCCAUGGGGUUAAAGAAUAGGAAAGCUAUCGGGAGGGGAUGGGAUAUGGAGCUCUGGCGGUGGGUAUUGUACCCUUCUCAUCCUAUGGUCUUGUCAGUGUUUCCAUUUUAUAAAUAAAUAAUUUUUUAAAAAAAAA